UACGUAGGGUGCGAGCGUUGUCCGGAAUUAUUGGGCGUAAAGGGCUCGUAGGCGGUCUGUUGCGUCAGGAGUGAAAACUCGGGGCUUAACCCCGAGCCUGCUUCUGAUACGGGCAGACUAGAGGUAUGCAGGGGAGAACGGAAUUCCUGGUGUAGCGGUGAAAUGCGCAGAUAUCAGGAGGAACACCGGUGGCGAAGGCGGCUGCCUGGCCUAGAACUGACGCUGAGGUGCGAAAGCGUGGGGAGCGAACGGG
rnacentral:rRNA from 1 species